UACUGCCCUAUAUCCUCAGGUCUCAGGGUGGUUACAACAUAAAAACACAAACUGCAAAAAAACACAGCAUGCUUUUCACUGCAUCACAUCAGGCAGAUAUCCAACAGGCUAUUAUCCUGGAAUAAGAGACGGUUGGUUGGUUUCUUUGUAGCUUUUUUAAUAAAUAAAAAAUCAGAGACCCUGCUCACAGUGGAUUGGGAGAAACUGGGGUUUGGAAGGGCAUAAUCUUUGCUUCCAACACCCCACAGGGCUUUCUCCUCUCUGCAUAGUGAAAUGCACAAAUGAAAGGCAGACUCUCGCCAAGUGGUGGAUCUGAGUUUUAAUCUCAAGGUCCCAGCAUUGCCUAAACAGGAGACUGGAAACAAGCUUAUACCUUGUGAUCGAAUGCCAAUUUUUUUUAAAAAAGACCUCUGUGGCUUUAAGAUACAAGACUCUUGGCGGGGGGGGGGGGGAGUUGGACCACGUGGUUUGGGCCCCAACAGAAGCUUAAUUCAGCCACUUCCUGCCAGAGUUGGGGGAAGCAGCAGCAGCAGCAGCUGCAAGGCACACUUCUGAACAUAGGAAGUUUGAGUCAGAUCGUUGGCUAGUAUAGGCCAGAUUGGCAGCAGCUCUUUGGCAUUUUGGGCAGAGAUUCCUGCCCCCACCCCUUGUUUUUCGAGAUCUUUUAAAUGGAAGAACCUAGGACCCAGGGAAACUGAGGCCAUUUUGCAUUCUGUGCUCCUGGAUGCAAAUGCAAAUUACAUUUCUGCACAUUUGACAAUUGCUCCCCAUUUCCUCUGCAGGCUGAUCCUCAGUGUGACCCGUCUGGCUUCCUUCCUUGCAACCUAAAUCUUCUCCAGAAUGAGAGGUUGCGCUUUGAAAACAUCAGCAUCUGUGACCUGCCUUCCUUGGAGGUCUUUAAGCAGAGGUUGGGCGGUCAUCUGUCGUGGAUGCUUUAGCUGAGAUUCCUGCAUUGCAGGGGGUUGGACUAGAUGACCCUCGGGGUCCCUUCCAACUCUACAGUUCUGUUUCUAUGCAAGCAGAACAUGGGUGCCUUAACCCUCUCUUGCUUGUGAUCCCCAGCAACUCGUAAUUCAAAGGCUCGGCCCCCCUCUGAUCCUGGAGGUGUGGGACCUUGGCAGACGGUCAAACAUGUCUCCUUUGGGCGCUGCCUCUGGUCAGAUAUUUACAUUCAACCUCGUAAUCUGACAUGAUUCAUUGUUUUAAGCGAAUGAAUCAAACUUCACUGAAUGACGGGGGUAUUAUUAUUUUCAUUUCUCUAUUUAUUUGGCUUGGACAGCUGAAGAUCCCUGAUGAAAUUCUUCAGAUACUGCGCCGCCAGAAUCCUCUGUUCAUGUAUUCGAGGUUUUCCCCCUGAAGACCGUCUCCCGUGGAUCGCGGCCCUGGGGUGCGUGUGUCUAGUCGAUGGAAUUGGAUUCAGCAUCCAGCCCCUCUUGCACAGAAAGUGUCAAACGGAGGAAGAUGAACUAGGCGUUGCGGGAGUAAACGUUGCCAUCUUGUCAAGACUAAAAUAAACUCCCCGUUAAUAAACGAGGUUGGGGAUUGGAAGAGAGCUUUUCGCCAUAAAAGGAGCCGAACGCUAAAAUUAUUGCCCCUGGAACCAUCGUGGGAGUAAAGAAAUUGUUUGUAUUAAAAAAAGGAAUGGUG